rnacentral:lncRNA from 1 species
AGGAGAGGCAAGAAAGACAGACUUGGAUCAUUUGGGGCAGGAGUUCUCCCAGAUCACAGAGCUGAGAUCAAUCUUUCCUCUGGGGUAUGUGUCAGUGACAUGCUCCUAUGAAGACAAGGAACGCAAUUCUCACACACAGCAGAGUGUCCUAAAGGAGAUGAGUGCUCAGGACCCCCAGAGGGAGGGGAAGGCUGAGCAAGAGGAACCGGCUCCUGACGUGUGGUUUCCUCAGACCUGCCCCACUAGGUGGACUGAAUCUCCCUUCAGCUGACCUGUUCUCCGUGGCUGGGAAGGGGCAUUGGCCCUUAUCUGGCUUCCGGCAGAAAGAAGACGACAAUGUAUCCGUUCCUCUCGACUUCACAGGGAUGGGAGUGACCAUCAGCAACAGACAAUGGACCCAGGACCCAGGACGACAGGGAUCUGAGAACUACAACUGAUUAUUGAGAAACAGCCCACAAAGCAAAGGGGGAAAGGAGAUGGAGUCCAGAGACCAGGUGGUGACAGCCUGUGACCUCCCACAUAUGGAGUAGAUGGUAGAAGACCAGUCGCUUUACCUGCCAUGAGCUGAGGGGUGACCAACUACAGAUAUUAACAUGAGCAGCCCCAGCAGACGUGAGCAGCGAUGGCAGAAACACCCAAGGCGUUGUCUGAGCUACGCGCAGUAGCUUCAAAAUGGCUAGAAGAAAAUAUUAUAUACAUAUAAAAUGUAUAAUAUAUAAUAUGUAAAC